rnacentral:rRNA from 1 species
GUGAGGAAUAUUGGUCAAUGGGCGCGAGCCUGAACCAGCCAAGUAGCGUGAGGGAUGACUGCCCUAUGGGUUGUAAACCUCUUUUGCAGGGGGGUAAAGUGGUUCACGUGUGGACCAUUGCAAGUACCCUGCGAAUAAGGAUCGGCUAACUCCGUGCCAGCAGCCGCGGUAAUACGGAGGAUCCGAGCGUUAUCAGGAUUUAUUGGGUUUAAAGGGAGCGUAGGCGGGGGUUUAAGUCAGCUGUGAAAUGCCGUGGCCCAACCAUGGAACUGCAGUUGAAACUGGACCUCUUGAGAGUACAUAAGGAAGGCGGAAUUCGUGGUGUAGCGGUGAAAUGCAUAGAUAUCACGAAGAACUCCGAUUGCGAAGGCAGCUUUCCGGGGUACAUCUGACGCUGAAGCUCGAAAGUGCGGGAAUCAAACAGGAUUAGAAACCCGGGUAGUCC